UCGGGGUCACCGUGGGGCCGGGGCUCUGCAGGUUCUGCGCGCUGGGGCUCCUCUGCUCUGACGUCCGUGGGUCUGGGGGCUGCUCGGGGGGCUGCUGGCGCUCCGGGGACAGGGUGAAGCUGCCCUGCAGUUCGACGGGGCAGGAGUACUGCAGGAAGGGGUCCCCAAGGAAGGGGUUGGCGUACAUGUUCACGGGUAUGGCUGCGGAGACAGACACGGUGCUCGCGGUCCCUGCGGCCACCAGCCCCGUGCCCCGUGCCCCCAGCACCUCCCGUCCCCAUCCUGCAAGCGGGGGCACACCCUGAGGGGUGAGGGGACAGGGACGGGGACCCCGGGAGCUGCUGCCUCCACCUGGGUGCUGCGGGGCUGCGGGGGCUGCAGGACGCCCCCACGGGUGGGCACAGCGCGGGGGCUACGGGGUGGGGGUGGCGCAGGGAGCCCUGUCUGGGGGUGCCCACGGGGAAGGGUCCGGCCGGGGGUCCCACACGCGCCCCAGGCCCUGCGGUUACACUUGUUCCUGGUGGCGACGGGGAAGAACGCGGGGCCGAUCUCCGUGCCGCUGAGGGACGGCUCAGGCGUGGUGCCGUGCGGCUGCAGCCGGCUCGCCGCGGUGCCGGCCGCCCCUGACCUGCGGUGCCGCCGGGGAGGUCUGCGGGGCCGUCGCGGGGCGUGGAGCGCCUGGAUCUCGUGCCGCAGCUGGUCGUAGCAGGCGAAGACGGAGAGCCCGGCGCGCGAGGGGCGGGUGGCGAGCAGCGGCUGCAUGGCCCCCUGCCCCGGCCCCCCGAUGGGAGGACCCCCCCGUUGCCAGCCCACCAUGAAGUGCUGCAGCCACUGCCCGGGCAGCGGCGUGCCGGACCCCGAUGCGCGGCCACCCACCUCCUGUGGGAGCCCCUCCUGCUGCCUCGACCCCCGGGGGGGCUGCACCGGCAGCCCCCUGCCCUGCCCCGGCCCCGCCAAGCACCCCGGCAGCCCCAGCGCGUCCGCACGCUCUGCCGAGAGCCUGGGGGGCUCCGUGGGCUCUGCCGACGCCGCCUCGUCCGCCGGCAGCACCAGCCUGAAGCCGGGCGUGGAGGAGGCGCUGGGCACCAUGCUGGCCGCCUCCUGCACGCUCAGCCCGAAGCCGGCGUCGGCGCUGGGCCCCGCCAUCGACCGCUCCUUCAUCACCACCAGCCUGGCCGCCCAGAUGCUGGAGGAGUUCCUGACGAAGCAGGUGCCGGCGGCGGCCACCGAGGUGUCCCCGGACGUCCCCGAGGAGAGCAACCGGCAGGGCCCCGUGGCCCCCACCGCCUCCCUGGAGAGGCUGCGCCGGCACAACCGCCGCUUCCAGCGGGCCAAGGCGCGCUUCCAGGGCCACGGCGAGAUCCCGGUCCAGGCGCUGCUGCCGGGGCUGGAUGGGGGCGGUGGGACAGCCCCCCGCCACGGCACCCGGCCCGAGCCACGCCACGGCCCCCCCUGGGACAGCCACGGGUGCCGCGGGCAGGGCGGCGAGGUGCUGUGCCGCGGCACCACCUGGCACGCCGUGCACGGCUGCUGCGGCACUGUGGAGGUGCUGAGCGGCGCCUGCCCCUGGGAGCGGGAUGGUGGAGCCGCGGCGUGCCGGGAGUGCGGGUGCAGCUGGGGGCUGCCCGGGCCCCCGGUGCCCCCCGUGCCGUGGCUGAGGCAGCGGGACGUGCACGGCUGGGCCACGCACACCACCACCGCCUGCACCACGCUGGGCCACGAGUCCCGGAGCUGCCACGGAGCCGCCACCGCCGUGCUCAGGGCGGGGAGGGUCCCGCACUGCGAGCCCCCCGCCGACAACCAGGGCCCCCCCGGGAUGCCGAGCUGCAGCCACGCAGAGCCGGGCACCAGCGCCCUGCGUGGCUGCGGCUGCGCCCCCCACUGCAGCCGGGGCAGGAGCGUGGAGGAGCCGUGCCGGGAGCCGGACGGGGAGCGGAGCCGCCUCCGGCGCCGGGAGCCAGCGGGGACCCUGGUGCGGGGCAGGGACCCCGGGGGGGAGCCGGAGGGCCCGGUGGCCUGGGCGCCCCCCCAGCAGCGCCUGGGUGCCAUGAACACGGUGCAGCUCAUCGCCAAGACCUUCGAGCUGCGGGCGCAGCGCGACGCCGCGCAGGCUGAGCGCGACCGGCAGCCCCCGUUCUGUCGCAGGGGGGGGACACUGGAAACCUGCCCCCCGGAGCCACGGGGACCCUGCUCCCCGGGGUGCUGCAGGGGGCUCCCCCGGGCCCGGGGCUCGCU
rnacentral:lncRNA from 1 species